CCCCAAUGCUCGUCAGCUCAAACGUCCCGUCUGCUGUGGGAUCAUCUCCGGACCCUGCAAUGGCAUAUAUUUACUGGGGUAUGCUGAAGGGCAUGGAGAACUUGAAUAUUUGAUGUGGAAUCCUGCUACUGGCUCGCUUAGGGAACUGCCGUUACUACCUUGAAACGACUAUGAUUUUUCUAAUGAGAGUGUUUGGUUUGGGGGGGGGACCGGUNNNNNNNNNNNNNGCGCCGACGUACGGACGGCCCCCCGCGCCUGAUCCGACGGGGAACCGACUAUGAUUCUGCUAAUGAGAGUGUUGGGUUUGGGGUCGGCACAGUUGCGGACGAUGACUUCAAAGUUGUUAUGAUCCUACACUC
rnacentral:lncRNA from 1 species